GGCGAGUGAAGCGGCAACAGCUCAAAUUUGAAAUCUGGCGCAAGCCCGAGUUGUAAUUUGUAGAGGAUGUUUCUGGCGACGUGCCUUCCGAGUUCCCUGGAACGGGACGCCAUAGAGGGUGAGAGCCCCGUACGGUUGGAUGCCUAGCCUCUGUGAAACUCCUUCGACGAGUCGAGUAGUUUGGGAAUGCUGCUCUAAAUGGGAGGUAUACGUCUUCUAAAGCUAAAUACCGGCCAGAGACCGAUAGCGCACAAGUAGAGUGAUCGAAAGAUGAAAAGCACUUUGAAAAGAGGGUUAAAAAGUACGUGAAAUUGUUGAAAGGGAAGCGUUCAUGACCAGACUUGGGCAGGUUGAUCAUCCGUGGUUCUCCGCGGUGCACUCUGCCUGCCCAGGCCAGCAUCAGUUCGCCCCGGGGGAUAAAGGCUUUGGGAAUGUGGCUCCCUCGGGAGUGUUAUAGCCCACUGUGUAAUACCCUGGGGUGGACUGAGGUUCGCGCUCUGCAAGGAUGCUGGCGUAAUGGUCAUCAACGA
rnacentral:rRNA from 1 species